UCCGUGUCCGUGAGAUGUUCGGGUUAAGUUCCCGUAACGAGCGCAACCCUUGUCCUUAGGUUACCAGCACGUUAUGGUGGGCACUCUAAGGAGACUGACCGGUGGACAAACCGGGAGGAAGGUGGGGAUGACGUCAAGUCCAUCAUGGGCCCUUACGGCCUGGGCUACACACGUGCUACAAUGGUCGGUACAAAGGGUUGCCAAGCCGCGAGGUGGAGCUAAUACCCAUAAAACCGAUCGUAGUCCGGAUCGCAGUCUGCAACUCGACUGCGUGAAGUCGGAAUCGCUAGUAAUCGUGAAUCAGAAUGUCACGGUGAAUACCGUUCCCGGGCCUU
rnacentral:rRNA from 1 species